rnacentral:sRNA from 1 species
CAGCGGCAUUUUUCGCCGUGGUCCGGUCAAGGCCCGUCCCCCGCCUUUCCCGGGCAAUAUAGCGGCAGCCUCAUCCCCCCUCUCCGGGCUGCCGCGGUGUUUCAAGCAUGGCCGCCGUGGUUACCCCCUCCACCACGGCGGCACUUG